UACUUGACUGAAGGCAUGCGAUUCUUCCUCGCACCACACGACCCACCACGAGACUCCUGCAGAGGCGCGCCAGCCACCGCAAUGGCGCAUCCACCGCGGCUUCUCUCUUCUCCACCGACCUCCGUCGCUUUGAUCCAGGCAGAGCAUCCGCAAGCCGCUUCUCUGUACUCAACCAAGCUCCGUCGCUCCGCUCGACACCGGGCAUCUCCGCAGCGACGCUCCACGGCGAGAUUGGUCGCCGCCCCCUCCGUGAAAUUCACGGUCAGUGGCGUCGAUGCCGACCACCACGACGGGGAAUGCGGAACUGCGGCGGCUGGGCCGACGCCUCCCCUCGCCCCUCUCCCUCCGGCGGCUCCCACCGCACCGGAGGCGGCGGCGCGCCAGGACUAGUGGGCCAAGCGGAGGCCUUUCCAGCACCAGGCCCAAUGCUGCUCGGGGCUUCUUAAGUCAUGCCUUGGGCGUAAUACCAGCCCAGGCCCAGGCCCAAUGUUGCGAACUCGAGGUUGCCUACCGUCUCCUUUCGAAGGCGAAAGCUUGCGCGGGCGUCAUAUAUACAGCCUCCGCCUCACCGUUUUCUUCCUCGCCCUCUUCUUCACCCUUCCCGGAGCGGAGAAGCUUGCGCAGGCAUCAUAUACAGCCCCCGCCUCGUCCCCUUCCUCGGUCUGCUGAACCCUUCCUCGAUGUGCUGAACCCUUCCUGGAGCGGAGAAAGACCAGGGUCAAAUGUGGAUUAGCUGGUGCAUCAGUACUGAUUUUGAUGGAACUCUGGAGGUUCUUGGCUAGAAUGGUUCUUGGUUCUGGAUAUGUUACUACUUUAGCCUAUCUUUUCUGUUUGUUCUACAAUUUUUUGGAGUGCAAAAUCGGCAGCGUUAAACUCUGGUGAAUACAGACCAUUAUUUCUUACUGGAUUAUUAUAGCAAUUUAUUGUUUUUGAACUUUCCGUGAUGUUCUCUAUGGCACAGGAAACAGAAAAUGGCUUGGAUGUCUCACCAGCCUUGCCGCUUCUACAUCAUUGAUGGAUCUUGCAAGUAUGGUUCAGGCUGUUUGUUCUCUCAUGGACUUGACUUAUUUGGGAGGAUAGAGAUGCAAAUCAGGGCACUUCUGCAUGAGCCGGAUGUAUAUCAAGUUCCAGUAGAGCAUUUGCCGUGGAGUCGCCAUGAGUUGGGUAUACUGCUUCGGCAAGUGGGAUGGGAUGAGACUCUUGAUCACCUAAUGAGUUUGCUCGAGUGUCUUCAUACUAUUUGUGUGGUUUAUAACAGCUAUGGAUAUUAUGCAAUCCUGUUGGAGAAUGUUUCACGCUACCUGGGUUACUUACCUUACAAUCCAAAUGUGAUGGAUGCCGACAGUGAAGUUCACCAGAUUUAUAUUAACUUCUCUGCUCAAAGUAGAGAAAUAUGCACUGAAGAAAAUGUUCGUAUCUAUUUCAGCCAUUAUGGGGAAGUCUUUUCUGUAUAUAUUCCGCGUGAAAGGUCAUAUGGUUUUGUGAGAUUCCAGUACCCUGAGACAGUGAGGCUGCUUUUAUUAAACUGGAAUCAUCUGGUCCCUCACUUCAUCUUCGGAGCAGGACUUUAUGUGAGCCCCUAUAUCUCCAACAAUCGGAGGAACCCUGCUGAGAAUCAUGGGCCGAAUGGCCUGGAUGGAGGGCCAGGACAUGUGCCAAAUGCCCUGGGUGGAGUGCCAGGAUAAGAACCAGGUGCGCCAGAUGGAAACGCGGCACAACAAGAUAUGAACCCUGCUGGGAAUCAUGGGCUGAAUGGCCCGGGUGGAGGGCUAGGACAUGUGCCAAAUGCCCCGGUUGCAGUGCCAGAUGACGUGCUAGGUGUGCUGGAUGGAGACGCAGCAGAACAAGAUAUGAACCCUGCUUGGAAUGGAGUGGCAGGACAAGUGCCAGUUGUUCCGGAUGGAGGCGCAGCACAACAAGAUAUGGACGAGAUCGCUGCCGCUAUUCCAGAUGUCGACUGUUUCUACAAGGAGGCCUGACCUGACCAGCCAGUGGCGCAAGUAUAAGUGGAUUGGAACAGCGUUCCUCAUUCAGAUGUUGUCGAUUCCCAUUCGAUACAUAUACACUCCAGACAUAGAUUGUAGAUUAGAUGAGUAUACUAAAGACGCAGCAAACUUGAGUACACUAUACUGAUUACUGAAACGCUUCUAUGGUUUCCUCUUAGAUACAUCAUAUAGACAAAAAGAAGUUUUUGUACAUUGAAGCGCUUUCCUUGGUUGAUUAGGUUUGGGGUCAAUCCCCCUGCUGUCAUGACCUGCUGAUGCAUGAUCUAAGAAUCCUUGUAAUUCUACUCUACACACUGAGUUUUUUUGGUAGUUAAUAGCAAAACAGAAACACUUUGUGUUUGCAUAUGACACUGGGACCUGUGCGUCUCUUUCGGAGAGAGUAAUGGAAGAUAUCUGAGUUUCAGUUA